rnacentral:rRNA from 1 species
ACACAUGCAAGUCGAGCGAGAAAAGGGGGGCAACUCCCUGAGUACAGCGGCGCACGGGUGAGUAACACGUGGGUAAUCUGCCCUGGAGUGGGGAAUAACACCGGGAAACCGGUGCUAAUACCGCAUACGAUAGCGAGGUCUGCGGACUUUGUUAUGAAAGGAGCCAUUCGCUCUAGGAGGAGCCCGCGGCUGAUUAGCUAGUUGGUGAGGUAACGGCUCACCAAGGCUACGAUCAGUAUCCGGUCUGAGAGGACGGUCGGACACACUGGAACUGAGACACGGUCCAGACUCCUACGGGAGGCAGCAGUGGGGAAUUUUUGGCAAUGGGGGCAACCCUGACCAAGCAACGCCGCGUGGGUGAUGAAGUCUCUUGGGACGUAAAUCCCUUUCGACGGGGACUAAACCGCAAGGUUUGACGGUACCCGUAGAAGAAGCCCCGGCUAACUCCGUGCCAGCAGCCGCGGUAAUACGGGGGGGGCAAGCGUUGUUCGGAAUUACUGGGCGUAAAGGGCGCGUACGCGGUUCGCUAAGUCGGCUGUGAAAACUCUGGGCUCUAACCAGAGCCUGCAUUCGAAACUGGCGGGCUAGAAGUCUGGACGGGUA